rnacentral:lncRNA from 1 species
UUAACAAUAUUUCAGAGUAUAGAAUCGCUGUGUUUGACUCUGAACUCUUUUUUUUGUUUUGUUUUGUUUUGUUUUUUGUAGGUUUCUCUUAGCAGAAAAAAAGCUAAAGAUCAAGAUCUGGAAAGAAUAGCAAAUCUCUUCACCAAGAAACAGUCAAGAAAAUUACUGCUCUCCUAGCUCAAAGAGAAACAUUAAUUAAAGAUCUUUGGAGAACGAUGCAAGAUUCAAGAUU